GGCGAGAUGGGCGAAGCGGUCCAAGGCGCUGGUUUUAGGCAACCAGUCCCCCCAAUUCGGGGGCGUGGGUUCGAAUCCCACUCUCGUCA